AGUAUAUUUAUUCAUUAAUUUAUUCAUAUGCAUUAAGAGUUUGAAAGACACCAUGACGAUUAAAAAGAGCUAUUUGAGAAUAGGAAGGAUGGGAUGGAAGGUAAACAAGCACAGGAGUUGCGGAAAAGAUGAGCCACGCAUCGAGGAAGAGAUGCUGACCAUCGAUGGUAACCAAGAGCCUCUCUCCAGAAGGUCGGGUGAGGCGUUUGCGCUUUACAGGAAGUCUGGACCACGGACACUUGGAGGUGCUACUAGAAAACAAGUAUGUAUAUAUGCCCGCGCCGCCCUCACCUAGUUGGCACUCAAGAGAUGGCAACGCAAAGCAUUUGGAAAUAUGGUGACCUCUGGAUGACAUCGGAAAUCUCUUCAGUAGCCUGGUGGCCCUGCCAGCAGCUCGAAAUUAAAGCCGCUCAAGACCCAAGGACCUUCUACGUACGAGUAUAUCCAUCUGCAUGGUAAGUUGCUCCACUUUGAAUUAGGCCCAGCAAUUUCGUUAUUUUCUUCUACUUUCUUCUCCUCUCCCCGCAUCGGCAUAAAUUUAUAUAAUUUUCAAAAUAUGCAGCACAGAAGAAAACAGAAGUCAAAGAGUGAAAUAAUACAACGGCAACAACCACACUUAAGCCUUGU
rnacentral:lncRNA from 1 species